rnacentral:rRNA from 1 species
GCGUGAGUGAUGAAGGCCUUCGGGUUGUAAAACUCUUUCGCGCACGACGAUAAUGACGGUAGUGCGAGAAGAAGCUCCGGCUAACUUCGUGCCAGCAGCCGCGGUAAUACGAAGGGGGCUAGCGUUGUUCGGAAUUACUGGGCGUAAAGCGCGCGCAGGCGGUCUUCCAAGUCAGUGGUGAAAGCCCGGAGCUCAACUCCGGAAUUGCCAUUGAAACUGUAAGACUUGAGGAUGAGAGAGGUGAGUGGAAUUCCCAGUGUAGAGGUGAAAUUCGU